AUUGAACGCUGGCGGCAGGCCUAACACAUGCAAGUCGAACGAGUGGCGGACGGGUUAGUAAUGUCUGGGAAACUGCCUGAUGGAGGGGGAUCACUACUGGACACGGUAGCUACUACCGCAUACCUUAAGAUGUGCCCAGAUGGGAUUAGCUUGUUGGUGGGGUAACGGCUCACCAAGGCGCCGAUCCCUAGCUGGUCUGAGAGGAUGACCAGCCACACUGGAACUGAGACACGGUCCAGACUCCGACGGGAGGCAGCAGUGGGGAAUAUUGCACAAGGGGCGCAAGCCUGAUGCAGCCAUGCCGCGUGUAUGAAGAAGGCCUUCGGGUUGUAAAGGACUUUCAGCGGGGAGGCGUUACCCGCAGAAGAAGCACCGGCUAACUCCGUGCCAGCAGCCGCGGUAAUUC
rnacentral:rRNA from 1 species